rnacentral:rRNA from 1 species
AUACGGAGGGUGCAAGCGUUGUUCGGAAUUACUGGGCGUAAAGCGCGCGUAGGUGGUCUGUUAUGUCAGAUGUGAAAGUCCACGGCUCAACCGUGGAAGUGCAUUUGAAACUGGCAGACUUGAGUACUGGAGGGGGUAGUGGAAUUCCCGGUGUAGAGGUGAAAUUCGUAGAUAUCGGGAGGAAUACCGGUGGCGAAGGCGACUACCUGGCCAGAUACUGACACUGAGGUGCGAAAGCGUGGGGAGCAAACAGGAUUAGAAACCCCAGUAGUCC